AUCAUCAGGGGAACUUGUUAAAAUGCAGAUUCUCAUUUACUAAGUCUGGGGUGGAGCCCGGGAUUCUGCAUUUCUAACAAGUUCCCCGGCGAUACUGC
rnacentral:pre_miRNA from 1 species